rnacentral:rRNA from 1 species
GAUGAACGCUGGCGGCGUGCUUAACACAUGCAAGUCGAACGGAAAGGCCCAAGCUUGCUUGGGUACUCGAGUGGCGAACGGGUGAGUAACACGUGGGUGAUCUGCCCUGCACUUCGGGAUAAGCCUGGGAAACUGGGUCUAAUACCGGAUAGGACCACAUUUUGGAUGGUGUGGUGGAAAGUUUUUCGGUGUGGGAUGAGCUCGCGGCCUAUCAGCUUGUUGGUGGGGUAAUGGCCUACCAAGGCGUCGACGGGUCGCCGGCCUGGGAGGGUGUACGGCCACAGUGGGGCUGGGAUACGGCCCAGGCUCCUACGGGAAGGAGCAGGGGGGAAUAUUGCACAAUGGGCGCAAGCCUGAUGCAGCGACGCCGCGGGGGGGAUGACGGCCUUCGGGUUGUAAACUCCUUUCGCUAGGGACGAAGCGUUAUGUGACGGUACCUGGAGAAGAAGCACCGGCUAACUACGUG